AGACACAAACAAGGAAGACAAGUCAGUCAAUCAUAUACUUAGAAGAUGAAGAAACUGACAUUCAGAGACUUCUCCGACCUGGCUCUGCCCAUGAGCCCACUCCGAGGCCCUACUUGAGGAUGGAGGUGGGCAUGGCGGAUGGGGCACAGAUGCUCUCACUCCUGUUUACAAAUUGUGCUUCUUCAGGUUUUGCUUGAGAGAAGAGGGUCCAUGGUCAAGCAUCAGAAGACGCAGUCGGUGAAGGUCUCUUUUCAACCCCUAUUGGAUCCCUACUCUUGUAAGGCUCUCUCCCAUGUUCCAACUUCCAGCCACUGCCUCCCCAGAAGUUCACGAGUGGGUCUCAUCUUCCCAGAACACAGGGAACCAGGGGCA
rnacentral:lncRNA from 1 species